AAUGGCCAUACUCAGUCUCAACCGGAAAGACAUGGCAACAAAGAAUUGCAGAGGAAACAGAAAUGAAAGUACAAAAACCUCAAUGCCCUCUUAGCCCCUUAAAGAGAGAGAGAGAGAGAGAGAGAGAGAGAGAGUUUUGCAAGCACUGACAAUACAAUGGAGCCAAGGAACAGAGAGAGUGAGGAAUGGGCAGGGCAUUAGCCCAAUUUAUACAAGGCAAAAACCCCAGCAAAUAGAGAGAGAGAGAGAGAGAGAGAGGGGCAGUACCUUGCAGAAGAGAAAAGGGAGAGAUGCAAGAAAAAGCAACACAGAAGUUUCCAACAGAAACAGAUAAAAAGGGAGGAAAGAGAUGGAGAGAGAGAGAAAGGAACGAAAAA